rnacentral:tRNA from 1 species
AUGCCGGUGGUCCAGUGGUAGGAUGGCGGUCUCCAAAACCGCAAGCGGGAGUUCGAUUCUCUCUCGGUGUG